rnacentral:rRNA from 1 species
GGAGGCAGCAGUGAGGAAUAUUGGUCAAUGGGCGAGAGCCUGAACCAGCCAAGUAGCGUGCAGGAUGACGGCCCUAUGGGUUGUAAACUGCUUUUAUGCGGGGAUAAAGUGAGGGACGUGUCCCUUUUUGCAGGUACCGCAUGAAUAAGGACCGGCUAAUUCCGUGCCAGCAGCCGCGGUAAUACGGAAGGUCCAGGCGUUAUCCGGAUUUAUUGGGUUUAAAGGGAGCGUAGGCUGGAGAUUAAGUGUGUUGUGAAAUGUAGACGCUCAACGUCUGACUUGCAGCGCAUACUGGUUUCCUUGAGUACGCACAACGUUGGCGGAAUUCGUCGUGUAGCGGUGAAAUGCUUAGAUAUGACGAAGAACUCCGAUUGCGAAGGCAGCUGACGGGAGCGCAACUGACGCUUAAGCUCGAAGGUGCGGGUAUCGAACAGGAUUAGAUACCCUGGUAGUCCGCACAGUAAACGAUGGAUGCCCGCUGUUGGUACCUGGUAUCAGCGGCUAAGCGAAAGCAUUAAGCAUCCCACCUGGGGAGUACGCCGGCAACGGUGAAACUCAAAGGAAUUGACGGGGGCCCGCACAAGCGGAGGAACAUGUGGUUUAAUUCGAUGAUACGCGAGGAACCUUACCCGGGAUUGAAAUGUAGAUGACCGCCGGUGAAAGUCGGCUUUCCUUCGGGACAUCUAUGUAGGUGCUGCAUGGUUGUCGUCAGCUCGUGCCGUGAGGUGUCGGCUUAAGUGCCAUAACGAGCGCAACCCCUCUCUUCAGUUGCCAUCAGGUGAUGCUGGGCACUCUGGAGACACUGCCACCGUAAGGUGUGAGGAAGGUGGGGAUGACGUCAAAUCAGCACGGCCCUUACGUCCGGGGCUACACACGUGUUACAAUGGCCGGUACAGAGGGACGGUGCAAUGCAAAUUGCAUCCAAUCUUGAAAUCCGGUCCCAGUUCGGACUGGGGUCUGCAACCCGACCCCACGAAGCUGGAUUCGCUAGUAAUCGCGCAUCAGCCAUGGCGCGGUGAAUACGUUCCCGGGCCUUGUACACACCGCCCGUCAAGCCAUGGGAGUCUGGAGUACCUAAAGUCCGUAACCGCAAGGGUCGGCCUAGGGUAAUACAGGUGACUGGGGCUAAGUCGUAACAAGGUAGCCGUACCGGAAGGUGCGGCUG